rnacentral:rRNA from 1 species
UACAGAGGGUGCAAGCGUUGUUCGGAAUUAUUGGGCGUAAAGGGCGCGUAGGCGGUUCGGCAAGUCUCUAGUGAAAUCUCAGGGCUCAACUCUGAGUCUGCUGGGGAAACUGCCGGGCUUGAAUCCGGGAGAGGGAUGCGGAAUUCCAGGUGUAGCGGUGAAAUGCGUAGAUAUCUGGAGGAACACCGGUGGCGAAGGCGGCAUCCUGGACCGGCAUUGACGCUGAGGCGCGAAAGCCAGGGGAGCAAACGGG